CUGUGUUAAUGAUGACUUUAAUUACCUACAUUGCUUGAUUCUUCUAUGAGAAUUAACAAAAUCUGACAACUCAG